AGAGUUUGAUCCUGGCUCAGGAUGAACGCUGGCGGUAUGCCUAACACAUGCAAGUUGAACGCAAAUCUUUAUAGAUUUGAGUAGCGAACGGGUGAGUAACACGUGAGAAUCUACCUCUAGGAGGGGCAUAAAAAACCCCAUAUGCCGUAAGGUGAAAUGGAUUUAAUAAUUCGCCUGGAGAUGAGCUCGCGGCUGAUUAGCUAGUUGGUGAGGUAAUGGCUCACCAAGGCCACUAUCAGUAGCUGGUCUGAGAGGACGAACAGCCACACUGGGACUGAGAUACGGCCCAGACUCCUCCGGGAGGCAGCAGUGGGGAAUUUUCCGCAAUGGGCGAAAGCCUGACGGAGCAAUACCGCGUGAGGGAUGAAGGCUCGUGGGUCGUAAACCUCUUUUCCCAAGGAAGAAGUUCUGACGGUACUUGGGGAAUAAGCAUCGGCUAAUUCCGUGCCAGCAGCCGCGGUAAUACGGGAGAUGCGAGCGUUAUCCGGAAUCACUGGGCGUAAAGCGUCUGUAGGUGGUUUGUUAAGUCUGUUGUUAAAAACUGAAGCUCAACUUCAGAGGUGCGGCAGAAACUGGCAAACUUGAGUAUGGUAGGGGUAGGAGGAAUUUCUAGUGUAGCGGUGAAAUGCGUAGAUAUUAGGAAGAACACCAUUAGCGAAGGCGUCCUACUGGGCCAUAACUGACACUGAGAGACGAAAGCUAGGGGAGCAAACGGGAUUAGAUACCCCGGUAGUCCUAGCCGUAAACGAUGGAUACUAGAUGUCGCGGGUUUACCUGCGGUGUCGU
rnacentral:rRNA from 1 species